rnacentral:rRNA from 1 species
AGUGGCGAACGGGUGAGUAACACGUGGGCAACCUGCCCAAAAGAGGGGGAUAACACUUGGAAACAGGCGCUAAUACCGCAUAACCAUAGUUACCGCAUGGUAACUAUGUAAAAGGUGGCUAUGCUACCGCUUUUGGAUGGGCCCGCGGCGCAUUAGCUAGUUGGUGGGGUAAAGGCUUACCAAGGCAAUGAUGCGUAGCCGAACUGAGAGGUUGAUCGGCCACAUUGGGACUGAGACACGGCCCAAACUCCUACGGAAGGCAGCAG